rnacentral:rRNA from 1 species
CAAUAGCAUAUAUUAACGUUGUUGCAGUUGAAAAGCUCGUAGUUGAACUUUUGGUAGGAGCGACCUGGCCUUGGGCGCAUGCCCUUGUUUGCUGUGUGUCGUAUCUGGCCAUCCUUUUCUUCUUUUUGGAAGGAAUCUUUUACUGUGAGUAAACUGGAGUGCUCAAAACAAGACGUUUGUUUGGUACAUUAAAGCAUGGAAUAAUAAGAUAGGACCUGGUUACUAUUUUGUUGGUUUGCAUAGCUAGGUAAUGAUUAACAGGGACAGUUGGGGGUAUUCGUAUUUAAUUGUCAGAGGUGAAAUUCUUGGAUUUAUGAAAGACGAACGACUGCGAAAGCAUUUACCAAGGAUGUUUUCAUUA